GACGAACGCUGGCGGCGUGCUUAACACAUGCAAGUCGAACGGAAAGGCCCUGCUCUUGUGGGGUGCACGAGUGGCGAACGGGUGAGUAACACGUGAGUAUCCUGCCCUUGACUUUGGGGUAACUUCAGGAAACUGGGGCUAAUACCGGAUAGGAGCUCCUGCUCCAUGGUGGGGGUUGGUAAGUGUCGGCGGUUGGGGAUGGACUCGCGGCUUAUCAGCUUGUUGGUGGGGUAGUGGCUUACCAAGGCUUUGACGGGUAGGCGGCCUGGGAGGGUUACCGGCCACAUUGGGACUGCGAUACGCACCAGACUCCUACGGGAGGCAGCAGUGGGGAAUAUUGCACAAUGGGCGGAAGCCUGAUGCAGCAACGCCGCGUGCGGGAUGACGGCCUUCGGGUUGUAAACCGCUUUCGCCUGUGACGAAGCGUGAGUGACGGUAAUGGGUAAAGAAGCACCGGCUAACUACGUG
rnacentral:rRNA from 1 species